rnacentral:sRNA from 1 species
GAAAUAGCUAUUGAUAUACCCUCUGUUUAGACACACUGCGUUUCUCUCCCUAAAAGCUGUAGCUCCCUAAAAGCAAGCUGUAGACUUGCAUUAAUGGCAUCCUUUUCAUCUUCAAACCCACUUGUGAAUUUGUUUCUUUUCUCUACUAGGAGCAGAUCCCUGCUUAUAUCAAAACGGAGGCUGUGAACAUAUUUGCAAAGAGAUGCUUGGAACUGCUUGGUGUUCGUGUCGUGAAGGUUUUAUGAAAGCCUCAGAUGGGAAAACGUGUCUGGCUCUGGAUGGUCAUCAGCUGUUGGCAGGUGGUGAAGUUGAUCAAAAGAACCAAGUAACACCAUUGGACAUCUUGUCCAAGACUAGAGUGUCAGAAGAUAACAUUACAGAAUCUCAACACAUGCUAGUGGCUGAAAUCAUGGUGUCAGAUAUUGAUGAGUGCCAACUGGGGGUGCACAGCUGUGGAGAGAAUGCCAACUGCACAAAUACAGAGGGAGGCUAUACCUGCAUGUGUGAUGGACGCCUGUCUGAACCAGGACUGAUUUGCCCUGACUCUACUCCACCCCCUCACCUCAGGGAAGAUGACCACCACUAUUCUGUAAGAAAUAGUGACUCUGGAUGUCCCCUGUCCCACGAUGGGUACUGCCUCCAUGAUGGUGUGUGCAUGUAUAUUGAAGCACUGGACAAGUAUGCAUGCAACUGUGUUGUUGGCUACAUCGGGGAGCGAUGUCAGUACCGAGACCUGAAGUGGUGGGAACUGCGCCACGCUGGCCACGGGCAGCAGCGGAAGGUCACCGUGGUGGCUGUCUGCGUGGUGGUGCUUGUCGUGCUGCUCCUCCUGAGCCUGUGGGGGGCCCACUACUACAGGACUCAGAAGCUGCUAUCGAAAAAUUCAAAGAAUCCUUAUGAGGAGUCGAGCAGAGACGUGAGGAGUCGCAGGCCUGCUGACACUGAGGAUGGGAUGUCCUCUUGCCCUCAACCUUGGGGUCAGUGCAACCAACUUCAUGGAGGCAGGAGCCCCAGUUAUGUGGAAUGGGCACAGAGCAAGGCUGCUGGAUUCCAGUAUCCAGUGAUAACGGCUCCUGUCCCCAGGUAAUGGAGCGAAGCUUUCAUAUGCCCUCCUAUGGGACACAGCCCCUUGAAGGGGGUGUUGAGAAGCCCCAUUCUCUCCUAUCAGCUAACCCAUUAUGGCAACAAAGGGCCCUGGACCCACCACACCAAAUGGAGCUGACUCAGUGAAAACUGGAAUUCAAAGGAAAGUCAAGAAGAAUGAACUAUGUCGAUGCACAGUAUCUUUUCUUUCAAAAGUAGAGGAAAACUAUAGGUUUUGGUUCCACAAUCUCUACGACUAAUCACCUACUCAAUGCCUGGAGACAGAUAUGUAGUUGUGCUUUUGUUUGCUCUUUUAAGCAGUCUCACUGCAGUCUUAUUUCCAAUUAAGAGUACUGGGAGAAUCACUAGGUAACUUAUUAG